rnacentral:rRNA from 1 species
AGCGAACGCUGGCGGCAGGCCUAACACAUGCAAGUCGAACGAACCUUUCGGGGUUAGUGGCGGACGGGUGAGUAACACGUGGGAACGUGCCUUUAGGUUCGGAAUAACUCAGGGAAACUUGUGCUAAUACCGAAUGUGCCCUUCGGGGGAAAGAUUAAUCGCGUUUGGAGCGGCCCGGGUCUGAUUAGCUAGUUGGUUGGGGUAGUGGCUCACCAAGGCGACGAUGGGUAGCUGGUCUGAGAGGAUGAUUGGCCACAUUGGGACGGAGACACGGCCCAGACUCCUACGGGAGGCAGCAGUGGGGAAUAGUGCACAAUGGGCGGAAGCCUGAGGCAGCAACGCCGCGGGAUGGAUGACGGCCUUCGGGGUGGAAACCGCGUUCGCCUGUGACGAAGCGUGAGUGACGGUAAUGGGUAAAGAAGCACAGGCUAACUACGUG